rnacentral:rRNA from 1 species
UAAUACGGAGGGUGCAAGCGUUGUUCGGAAUCACUGGGCGUAAAGCGCGUGUAGGCGGUCUCUUAAGUCCGAUGUGAAAGCCCGGGGCUCACCCCCGGAAGUGCAUCGAAUACUGGGAGACUAGAGUACCGGAGAGGAAGGUGGAAUUCCUGGUGUAGCGGUGAAAUGCGUAGAUAUCAGGAGGAACACCGGUGGCGAAGGCGGCCUUCUGGACGGAUACUGACGCUGAGACGCGAAAGCGUGGGGAGCAAACAGGAUUAGAUACCCUGGUAGUCCACGCCAUAAACGAUGGGAACUAGGUGUUCGGGGUAUUGACCCCCUGAGUGCCGCAGCUAACGCAUUAAGUUCCCCGCCUGGGGAGUACGGUCGCAAGAUUA